rnacentral:rRNA from 1 species
UACGGGAGGCAGCGGUGGGGAAUAUUGCACAAUGGGCGCAAGCCUGAUGCAGCCAUGCCGCGUGUAUGAAGAAGGCCUUCGGGUUGUAAAGUACUUUCAGUCGUGAGGAAGGUGUUAAGGUUAAUAACCUUAGCAAUUGACGUUAGCGACAGAAGAAGCACCGGCUAACUCCGUGCCAGCAGCCGCGGUAAUACGGAGGGUGCGAGCGUUAAUCGGAAUUACUGGGCGUAAAGGGCACGCAGGCGGUUAAUUAAGUUGGAUGUGAAAUCCCCGGGCUUAACCUGGGAAUGGCAUUCAAGACUGGUUAGCUAGAGUCUUGUAGAGGGGGUAGAAUUCCAUGUGUAGCGGUGAAAUGCGUAGAGAUGUGGAGGAAUACCGGUGGCGAAGGCGGCCCCUGGACAAAGACUGACGCUCAUGUGCGAAAGCGUGGGGAGCAAACAGGGAUUAGAUACCCGU